UACGUAGGGGGCAAGCGUUGUCCGGAAUCAUUGGGCGUAAAGAGCGUGUAGGCGGCCAGAAAAGUCCGCUGUGAAAACUCGAGGCUCAACUUCGAGCUGUCGGUGGAAACUUUCUGGCUAGAGUCCGGAAGAGGAGAAUGGAAUUCCUGGUGUAGCGGUGAAAUGCGCAGAUAUCGGGAGGAACACCAGUGGCGAAGGCGGAGACCUGGGCCGAUACUGACGCUGAGGUGCGAAAGCGUGGGGAGCAAACAGG
rnacentral:rRNA from 1 species